rnacentral:rRNA from 1 species
UACGUAGGGUGCAAGCGUUGUCCGGAAUUAUUGGGCGUAAAGAGCUCGUAGGCGGUCUGUCGCGUCGGCUGUGAAAUCCCGAGGCUCAACCUCGGGUCUGCAGUCGAUACGGGCAAACUAGAGUAUUGCAGGGGAGACUGGAAUUCCUGGUGACGCGGUGAAAUGCGCAGAUAUCAGGAGGAACACCGGUGGCGAAGGCGGCUUGCUGGGCCUUACCUGACGCUGGAGGCGCGAAAGCCUAGGGGGAGCAAACGGG